CGCGCGGCGCAGGUCACGUGGUUCCUCCUCCCGCCCUGCCCGUCCCUGAGGCGGGACCGGCGCGAGGGGAGGGAAGAACAAUUCUGAGGAAAUAAGGGAUAAAGAGGCGGUUCCGCUGCUCGAGCGAGAGUCAGAACAGAGUGGAGUGCUGCUGGGGAGGUGCCUGACGCGCUGCAGCUCCCUGGUACCUGCAGAGCUGCAGACGUGCCUCCUCUGCUCUGGAACCACCACCUCCAAGAUGCAACUCAAGUUGCCAGAAAUUAAUAAAUGGCAUUAAAAGAACAGAGAGAAUUAAAACCAAGCAUGUAAUUUAGCACCGAUUCCCCUUGGGGGACAAGGCAGAGCACUCAAGCUCCACAGAUACCACAGGAAUGAUGGAAAAAGGAACAGGGAUGUGUGGGAAGCUCAGUGGAGAGCAAACUGAAAAUACAGCUGGUGAGGAAUGAAAGUGCAGCUGCUACACAAGGACAUUAAACAGGCACUUGUUGCUGUUAAGUGACUUCAUUUCUUAAUGGAGUUAAAGCAAAAAUGUUCAUUUCUGGCCCUUAACUUUCCUUUUGCACCUGAAAGGGUGCAAGGGAAGUUUCCUGUUGUUUUUCCAUGUGGGAUUAAAAAUACACCACAUUUACAUACCUGUGGGAUUCAGGACACCAUUCCUUCAAAAGCAAGGUGCUGAGGGAUCACUUUUACAUCCAAGCCAAAGGGUCCAAGGCACGGCAGAAAUGGCUCAACUUCUCCACUUCCACGAUUCAAAAAACCCCCACAACCCCCCCCCACACCUGAGGACCAUCUCCUAGACAACAAAACUCAAAGCAGGGCCCAAAUAAUUUGGUGUCCUUUGAUAGUUUAGGUAAAACUGAAUCUACAAGUGGAUCACCUUGGAAUCACCCAAGGCCAAAAGCCAAACUCAAUAUCCAACCUGGAUCUGGAGCUGGAAUCACUGUCUUCUUCAGUCUCAGGCAUUAAAUUCACUCCACAGGAUUUCCCAUCACACAGAGGACACUCAGACUUCCUCACAAAGAGGCAGAACUGUUUAUUAUUAACAAGACAUACCAUGAAGACCCCACUGUAUCAUCUACAGAUAUAAAACCUCGGGAGGAUGGAUGUUCCCAUGUAUCCAAAUUACAAAUGAAAAAAAAAAGCAUCAUAAUACGGACUCAGCCCAUGAUUCCGAGUCACUCUGCAGUCCUGGAGAUUCACAGACCCCAAAAGACCAGAUUAAGUUCAAAUUUUGGCUUAUGUAAGUUUUCCUGCUGCCACCUUCCAUCCCAACACCAACAUUCCUGAUUUUCCAUCGGAGCCUGCUCGGACACCCUUCAGCUGCCACAUUCCUCAGCUUAUCCCCCAAAUGCCCCAAAAGCUGCCGAGGUGUCUGCCAAAAACCAUCUGCACACCUGGUUUAAGGCAGGAAGGAGUCCCAGUACCUGGAAGUCCCCAGUGGGGUUAUUCCUGUCAUGGAAUCCCUUGUAUCCCAUAUGGGAUCCCAGCAAUAUCCACAGGGAGCAUCUGGCCCAGUGACAUCCAGAACUCCACAGGACAGGAGUUGAAGAACAGGAAAACAACACCAAAGUGUUCAUUUGCUGAAGGGCAGGAUUUCACCCAGAAAGGAGUGUGGGGUUGGUUGGGAGGCUUUUUUUGUAAACCCACCCAUAUUCACAUCAAUUUUUGGAGUUCUAAUAUAAAAAAAGCAAGAAAAAGGGCUUUUUAUUUUUUGUUUUUUCAGUGAGUGCCACCUGUCACUUCAGGGUCACCAGAUUUGUUUCACUGGCCUGGGCCAUCACCACAAAGAGCUCUCGAUUUUGUUUUUAACAGCUCCACAACACGGCCCAGAAAUUCAAGCUUUAGAAAAACAGAACUUCCCCUUUAUUUAUAUUGCACCUGUUUCACAAAGAGCUACGUGGCAGAAGUUCCCUCUGCUGCAAAAAUGCUACAUCAGAAAAAUGUGGGUUUGGACACAGAGUAGAAAGGAAAGCUCUUGAUUUUCAGGAAUCAUCAGGAGUUGAGCCCAAAUUACUGGUACUAUUUUUAUAAAUCACUCUACACCUACAAGUCCUAAGUAUUGCCUCAAUUUUAUUCAGCAUCCAGUUCUUUAAAAACCACAAGCAUUUUACCAGAUGAUAAAGAUGCUCUAACCACUACUGGGUACUAAAAUUGAAUCUGCAAGGGAAAUAUUUUGAAGAUCUCUUGAGAGAGCACCAAAUACUCUUUGGAACCACCAACAGAAAACCCACACAGAGGGACAGAUUUGGUUUGAUACCUCUAGAACUAUCCACUGGGAAGAAUUUCCCAAUGUUGGGAUGUAUUUACAUGUUAAAAAUGCAUAAUGGAAAUCAAAACAUCUCAAAGGAUACCAGUCACCGGUGUCCUAACCCUGGUUACAGGAGCUUCAGACUCUGUAAGCACCCAGAGAGGCAUUACCCACACAGCAAAACAUCAACCCAGCUCCUCACAGGUGGCCAUUAUGGCAAGGAAUAAACCCAAACCAACCCUCCUGGCUUUAACAGCAGGGUCAUUAUACAAGAUUGUCUGGAUUUGCCCUUUUUAUUCCAGUGUUUCCGUACUUUCUCCACACCUAUGUACAGAGUUAAAUACGUCAUUCAUUUACAAGCCACGGUAAAACAAACGUCCCACUUUGCCAAACAAAAUCCCACAGAGGUCCAAGAUUUAAAAUAUAUAUUACAACGGCAUCAGAAACUUCCUUUCCCUGAAUGUGGACAAUAUUGCUUAAGGACUGGGAUUCAGGAUUCAGCAAAACCAUCUCCUGGAACGGCCUCGCUCGACCGUUUUAAUUACACCUUGUACAACACACAAUUAUCCCUGCUGACCACAGACCUGAACUGCAGGAGCAGGAGCACUGCCAGGAGUCUCCAGGGAAGGGAUUCACUCUCUGGGCCCUAAAUAGACAAUAUCCUCAUUUGGGUCAGCCCCCUUUUGCAAGCACAGGAGCUUUACUUCAGAGACACAGCGAGGCCACGAGCCCAGACUGGAAUUUGGGACAAGUAAUUUUCAACAGAAAGCCCUACAACCUGCUGCCAGGCUGGAAAGAAAAACCUGAGCUAAAGACCUGCCAUGGUAAAUGUGCAGUGCAAGCUUUCUAUGAGAA